rnacentral:lncRNA from 7 species
AUCCAGUUGUGCCUGGCUUGCUGUCAAUAGAACCAUUACUGGUUCUGCCAUGUUUAGCCCUGUGGGUUUGUGUCCCAUAUUGAAGACCUACUUUGUUCCCUUUGUGCUGUGGCCCUGCACAUGGUCCUCAGGUGGUAAGAGGCUGGUUCCCAAUCCAAUUCUCUGGAGGACGAUGAUCUGGUUGCUGUUACCUGCUAUUUCUUGGCUGUCUCAUAAGUGCCGAAUGGGAGGAGAAUUGCUUUGCUUGGGCUGUUGGCUACAUUCUUGCUAAUGCAAUGCAGUGUGUGGUUUGUCAUCUUAGCCUCAAGGACUCGCAACCAAAAUAUUGCCACAUACCCCAGAGCUGACCUUGAGCACAGCGGCUGAGCCCCAAAGGGGAAGAGGUUGAAGAGGGAAGAGAAUUACAGGGAAAGAUGGUUACCAAGUGGACAGGACGAUUAAAGUCUGUUGUUGCCUUCAGGGCCUGACACUUGCAUACUCAUGAAAGAGUAGAAAGAAACAGACUAAUGCCCACGCAAACAUUAAACAGUUGCCUUGAGUAAGUUUGGUGGUAAUUUUCCAUUAGUCCAGAGUUGCUUGACAUAUCUUUAGCUGCUAAAAAAUUAAGGCGCUUACUCUAGGCAUCGCAGAUAGGUGGACUGAAUCACUCCUAGAAGUGCUUGCCCCUCUGCAGGCAUCAGGGAGCAGACUAGAUGAUGAGCUGAGAUUCAGAAUCUAGUUUUCAGGCAGUUAAAUUCAGAUGGGAUUGAACCAUCAGGUGAUACUCUUGCAUCCUUAGAACAGAUAAGAAAUGUUUACACAGAGUUUCACUCCAACGUAGAAAUUUCUUCCUUAGCUUCAUACCUCAGGGUCUUCAGAUUAACUGGGUGGAAAUCAUGGUUGCUACUUGCUCCUGUUAGGCAUAGCAGAGCUUUUCGUGCUCAGUACUGUGGUUGACUGUGUUCUGGGUAGACUUGUAAAAAAUUUGGAAAAGAUUUUUCAGGGCUUUUCCAGCUAACUCUCUGCAAAAUGUGGCUUGUGCACAUAAUGAAGAAAGCUCAGUCCUGAAAUGAGAUUUUGCAACUGUUUAGUAAUGAUAGUGGGAAUCUGCUUAUGGUGCUGGAGGCUCUAAACAGAUACUAUCCAAGAUCCACCAAACCUGUUUGGUUUGAAAAGGGUUGAUGAAAGUAAAUCUCAGUAAAGAGAAAAUUUUACUAAGCUGUUCUAGAUGGUGGAGGGGUGAAUGGGUUUCAUCUUUAGAGGGCUUCCAGUAUUUUAACACUGUUUUUGUCCCAAGUAAUGGAUUCAUUGUGGGAGUUAGUUUAAUCAAAGAACUCAGCUUGAGCUUGGGAAUGCACUUCAGCUAUCUGGAAACAGCUCUCUCAGGACGCCACAGAAAUUUGGGUAAUCUGAGAUUGCUGUCAGAGUAACAUGAAAACGUUUUCGUGUCUUUUAAUAAACGAAAAUAUAAAAG